rnacentral:tRNA from 6 species
GCCGAUAUAGCUCAGUUGGCAGAGCGACGCUCUCGUAAAGCGUAGGUCAACGGUCCGAUUCCGUUUAUCGGCU